AUGAACACCAAUGUGCUCUCGUCUGAAGGAACUCCACAACCACAGGGAGAUCUAAUGGAGACUCCAGUCUGCGCUUUGGUGGACGCCAUGUUCAGACUUCCUGCAAAGCUCGAUAGGUUACUGGUCAGUCACGGCCACAUGCUGCCCCGGGGGGCGGUGGACGAGAUACCUCUCAUCAAGCAAGAUCUUGAGAAGAUUGUAGCCAUCCUCCAGGAACACGGCGACUCGGGAGCAGAGGACUGUUCUAUGACGGUCAAUUGCCUGACCAAGGAGGUGCGCGAGCUGUCCUACGACAUGGAGGACACCGUCGACCAGUAUAAGCACGCCGCUGAUUCCAGGAGAGGAAUAUUAUCUCCUCGCCGCAAGAAGUACAAGAUCACUCGCGGUAGGAGCAAGCCCACAUCGGGGCUGCGGGAGAAGCUCAAGUGGCGUCUAUGGAUGGCCAACAAGAUCAUGGAGUUCAGUGUGCGCUCCCAGGAGGCGCUUCAGCGGUACAGCUUCUUUAACCACCUUGGUGACAAUGGUAGCAGUGCUGCUGCUUCUGCUUCUACUAGAUGUGAUGAUGCAUCUUUCCGCUCUUGGCAUCCCACGCCAUAUGGGGAGCUUGUCGGUAUCGACGAAAAUGUGAAUAAGCUUGAAGCGUGGCUGGGUAAGGAUGGAGAGCAGAAGCUCAAGGUGGUGUCUGUUGUUGGAUCUGGAGGGAUUGGUAAGACCACGCUUGUCAAAGAGCUGUACCGUAGAAUCAGAGGGCAAUUUGAGUGCCGGGCAUUUGUGCGUUUGUCCCGAAAGCCUGAUAUCAGGAGGCUUCUCAUCAGCAUGCUCUCACAAAUUCGGCCACACCAGCCUCCUCACACUUGGAAGGUGCAUAGCCUAAUUGCUGACAUCAGGGCACAUCUCCAACAUAGAAGGUACUUGAUCGUAAUUGAUGAUGUAUGGGCUACGCAAACAUGGGAUAUCGUUAGCCGUGCUUUGCCGGGUGUUAAUCUUUGCAGCGGCAUACUUAUAACUACAGAAAUCAAUGAUGUAGCUCUGAAAUGUUGUGGUUAUGACUGUAAAUAUGUUCUCACGGUGAAACCACUUAUUGACGAUGAUUCAAGCAAAUUAUUUUUCAGCACAGCUUAUGGUCGUCGACUUGAAUGUCCACCAGAACUUGGUGAACUUUCAAAGAGUAUUAUAAGAAAAUCAAAGUUUUAA
rnacentral:rRNA from 1 species